CGUGUACAAAUGUAUGACGUUCGCGAAACUACAGAAUAGCAGAAUAGGUUUGUCCUUGUUCUGGAUUUAUCAUUGUCGUGUAACAAACGACUAUGCUUCUCUUUGAGGUCUUUAUUAUCAAGUAAGGAAAGCACUUGAAGAGACACAGUUAUUGAAACUCGCGACGAGAGCCAAUAGAGAAACAAAUUUACUGAAUUACUUUUAGACGCAAAUGUCCUUUGAAGUCGGAAAGUGCCUUAUUUUACAAGUUACAGAAGAAAGUUUACGGAAAUUUACAGACAAUAGCUGUGAUAACUAUAACAAUGGCGAUAUUUAUUCAACAUUACCGUACAUAGGUAUAACUACCUCGUAUUAAAACCACAAUCAUACUUUUGUUCUGUCUAGUGUUCUUUGACAUUUAAAAUACACAAGUUUAUCGGAGGGGGAAUUUAUAUAUAAUCGCAACUUUUUCUUUAAAAAUUUCAAACUCAUCCAUGUCCUCCCCAACAAUUCCGUGCUCAUUUCGAUUCGCGACCGCAAUUAUUACGCAGCCUCGUUCCUUCCAUUCCGCGUCAUCCGGUAUUAACGGAAGUGUAACGUCAAUCCCUGCCAUUACAAAUGUAAUUAUUUACAAAAGCGUGCACAGUGGCGGCUUUUCCUCGAAUAUCUCGAAUACGUCGAAAACAUCGCGCACAUUCGAUAUUCGUUUACGCAGUUUUUCGCACGUCGAUGUAUAGUUCUGUCACCGGCAAAACGAUGAAUCUAUCCCGAGUGACGGAGGAAAUUCAAGCGAGAACCGAAAUUUCAUCCGCGUCGGAAGCGUCGCAGUGUUUUCAGCCGAGGAGGAAGCGUCUAUCGAUCAGCCUCGACCCGAAAAGACAAUGAAAUAAAAAAGCGGCUUGCAUAUAACAAGGAUGAUAUAUAUAUGACACAAUCAGUGAUCAAGGUGUUUAUAAUAAGGUCUAAUGAUUCAUACUUCCCACACCAGGAAGAAUAUGGAAUACGUGCACUCAAUAAUAAUAAUGCGGCGUUUGAGAAAAAUAAUUUUUCUAUAAAAUCGUAGCAGACAGAUAAAUCUACGUUUCUAAAAUGAUGAUUUCAAUAUUCUACCAAUUUAUUGAAUUGUUUAAAGUUUAAAUAAAUUUUAAGUCAAAUGCUCUUAGCAAGAUAUGAAAGCAGAAGCUUUUGUUUUAAAGCAGAAACAAAGCAGAAAGUAAACUCGCUCUUUCUCUCUCUCUCUUCUA